GGCAAAAUUAAUUAGGUAUAUAAGUUAGUGCUGCCAAAGGCAAAAAAGGAUCUGUAACUAAAUACUUUUACCAAUGGUCCAAUGCUAAGGAUCUAUGGCUGGAUUUAGAGAUUGCAGUAAUGUACCCAACUGUUAACAGAAUUUUUGUUGUGCAAGGCCAGGCCUGAUAUCUUAUUGUUUUUCAUGGAUAGGUUGAUUUAGAUUUUGCGGUCUGGCUGUCACAUGAAAAUAGGAUCUGA
rnacentral:misc_RNA from 1 species